UACGUAGGUGGCAAGCGUUGUCCGGAAUUACUGGGUGUAAAGGGCGUGUAGGCGGGGAAAUAAGUCAGAUGUGAAAUUCCAGGGCUCAACCCUGGCGCUGCAUCUGAAACUAUAUCUCUUGAGUGCUGGAGAGGAAAGCGGAAUUCCUAGUGUAGCGGUGAAAUGCGUAGAUAUUAGGAGGAACACCAGUGGCGAAGGCGGCUUUCUGGACAGUAACUGACGCUGAGGCGCGAAAGCGUGGGGAGAAAACAGG
rnacentral:rRNA from 1 species